AUUGAACGCUGGCGGCAGGCCUAACACAUGCAAGUCGAGCGGAUGAAGAGAGCUUGCUCUCUGAUUUAGCGGCGGACGGGUGAGUAAUGCCUAGGAAUCUGCCUGGUAGUGGGGGAUAACGUUCCGAAAGGAACGCUAAUACCGCAUACGUCCUACGGGAGAAAGCAGGGGACCUUCGGGCCUUGCGCUAUCAGAUGAGCCUAGGUCGGAUUAGCUAGUUGGUGAGGUAAUGGCUCACCAAGGCGACGAUCCGUAACUGGUCUGAGAGGAUGAUCAGUCACACUGGAACUGAGACACGGUCCAGACUCCUACGGGAGGCAUCAGUGGGGAAUAUUGGACAAUGGGCGAAAGCCUGAUCCAGCCAUGCCGCGUGUGUGAAGAAGGUCUUCGGAUUGUAAAGCACUUUAAGUUGGGAGGAAGGGCAGUAAGUUAAUACCUUGCUGUUUUGACGUUACCGACAGAAUAAGCACCGGCUAACUUCGUGCCAGCAGCCGCCGUAACAC
rnacentral:rRNA from 1 species